AACGAACGCUGGCGGCAGGCUUAACACAUGCAAGUCGAGCGCCCCGCCAGGGGAGCGGCAGACGGGUGAGUAACGCGUGGGAACGUACCUUUUGGUUCGGAACAACUCUGGGAAACUGGAGCUACUACCGGAUAAGCCCUAACGGGGAAAGAUUUAUCGCCGAAAGAUCGGUCCGCGUCUGAUUAGCUAGUUGGUGAGGUAACGGCUCACCAAGGCGACGAUCAGUACCUGGUCUGAGAGGAUGAUCAGCCACACUGGGACUGAGACACGGCCCAGACUCCUACGGGAGGCAGCAGUGGGGAAUAUUGGACAAUGGGCGCAAGCCUGAUCCAGCCAUGCCGCGUGAAUGAUGAAGGCCUUAGGGUUGUAAAGCUCUUUUGUCCGGGAAGAUAAUGACUGUACCGGAAGAAUAAGCCCCGGCUAACUUCGUG
rnacentral:rRNA from 1 species